UUUAUCUCCACACAUGUGAUUGCUUGCGGCAUUAUCAAGAUACCACAAAUCUUUCUUGCUUCUUUCUUCUCCUUUGAAGGCUAGCAACAAAGUGGCCUCCGCUUCUUCAUUUUCAACAUGAUGAGCCUUCUCUUCAACAUUGAAAGGAGAACUCCAACACUUCCGAGCAUAGUGCCCAAUCUUUUGGCAAUUGUAACACCGAACUUUGGACUUAUCAUUUUGCCUUGUGUAGUUUCCUCUACCACGGCCUCUUGACAAAUACCUCCUUUCUUCAUUGUUGGAGUAUUGAUUGCCUU
rnacentral:lncRNA from 1 species